AUUGUAUGGAACCCAGCAUUUUUUUACAGAAAGUUCUUUGCAGAGGUGCAAUAAAUAUUUCCAAGUGGUACUUUAAAUAAUUGCCUUUCUGUGUCACAAACUGACUGACCUUUAGUAUCUAUUCGUGCAUAAUAGUGUGGGGGAAUGACGCAAUGACGCUGCAUUUCUGUGUGAAACAGCAAACAGCAGCAUUCAGUCUUCUACCUCCUCAGCUUUUAAAGGGGACAAUACAACUGUGACUUGAAAGACAACAAAACAUCAAUAUCAUAAAAGCAAAUAAUGCAAAUCAUAAAACGCAUCCUAAUUUUAAACAGCAAUCUUUAAAUGUAUUACAUUAUUUAGAGCAGCUCUACUACUCACACUUCCCCUCUGACGUCACCUCAUGAAUAUUCAGCGUCUCGUGUGCAUAAGCAGUGCCUGGUACUCAAAGAGAUUAAGUUGACGGUCUCACUCACACUGGAGAAUACAUGAACAGUUCACAAAACAGUGUUGUUGGAGGUCUGUUAUGAUGACAUGAUGAGUUCUGCCGCAAGUGGCGCUGCGGAUUUUCCACCAUCAUCAGCGGAUGGUACCGAGGGGAGGAGGCGACCAUCUCCCGGACAAACCUCCGCCAAACCGGCCUUAAACCCCCGCGGCAGCCGCUCCGCAUCAUCCACUGCGUCAAAGCCAGGAGCAAAAUCCACUAAAGGACGUGAAGGAGAGCAGGACACGCGUGUGGUGAAGCUGAGGGGUGCGGCAGCUGUUCGUGGUGCUGAAACUGAGGCGAUUUUGGAAACCGAGGAGCGGAUUGACCGCGCUCCGCCACCGGACACCCGCCGCGCGCUGCGUUUUCCGUGCGUAAAAAGAGACUCGUCUGCGGAGAAACUCGACGGAGCGCCCGGUGGCGUGAGGGGGGGACAGGCCGCUGCGGGAGGAGAGUACGUGGGCUGCGGACCGGCCUUCUGGGGCGGAGGCUGUUUGCAGUCAGAGCUCAUCCAAUAUCACAUUAACAAGCGCUUGAGGAAAAGCGGUAGGAUGCAGCGGCAGACACCGGGAGAGACGCAACCGGGAUCGGGAGCGCAGGCCGAAGAGGUUAUGACACAGCAGGAUGAAGCCCUGCAGGAGGAGAUCGAAAGGCUGGAGGACGAAAACGACGAGCUUAAGAGCACGAUUGAAGAGAUGCGGACGGAGAUGGAGGAGAUGCGCGACACCUUCUACGAGGAAGACACGUGUCAGCUAGAUGAAAUGCGGCGUGAGCUGGAAAGAGCGAAUAAGAACUGUCGCAUCCUUCAGUAUCGACUCCGCAAAGCAGAGCGUAAACGACUACGCUAUGCGCAGACCGGAGAAAUCGACGAGGACCUCCUGAGGAGCUUAGAACAAGAUUUAAAGGUUGCCAAAGAUGUUUCUGUGAGACUCCACCAUGAGCUGGAAAACGUGGAGGAGAAACGAACAAAGACUGAAGAUGAAAACGAAAGGCUGAGACAGAAACUUAUCGAGGUGGAAGUCACCAAACAGGCCCUGCAACUUGAGCUAGAUAAGGCCAAAGAGUCUCAGAAACGAAGAGGAAGCAAAGAUGCACAAAAGCCUGAGAGGAAGACCCAGACUCCUACAGAGGAGGACAGUGAGGACCUGAAAUGCCAGCUGGCCUUCAUUAAAGAGGAGGCUACCUUAAUGAGAAAGAAAAUGGCAAAAAUCGACAAGGAAAAGGACCGCCUGGAGCAAGAACUUCAGAAGUAUCGAUCCUUCUAUGGGGAUUUGGAUAGCCCUCAUCCAAAGGGGGAAGCUGGUGGUCCACCCACUACAAGGGAAUCAGAACUGAAACUCCGCUUGCGGCUGGUGGAAGAAGAGGCCAACAUCCUUGGACGAAAAAUUGUGGAACUGGAGGUCGAGAACCGUGGUCUGAGAGCAGAAUUGGAUGAUCUUCGUGGGGAUGAAUCCUCUAAUGGGGGCUUGUCCGGUGCGGAAGGAGGAAUAGGGCGCGAACAGGGUUCAGAGCUGUCGGAGCUGAGGCAACAACUGCAGUUGGUGGAGGAUGAGGCCGAACUUCUGAGGAGGAACCUCGCGGAUGUAGAGGAACAGAAUAAGAGAGUGACAAGUGAGCUGAAUAAAUUGCGCUUUAAAGAGGGUACAAGGCAUGCUUCAGGUAGUAAUGCAACAGGUUCCAAUAAUGGUGGAGGAGACAGCUCCAAAUCUGAGGCCUUGCAGGAGGAGCUGAAGGCGGCAAGGAAGCAGAUCAAUGAACUGAGCGGGAAAGUGAUGCAACUACAAUAUGAGAACCGUGUGCUGCUUUCUAACAUGCAACGAUAUGACCUAGCAUCUCAUCUAGCCGUGACGCCACGUGACAGUGAUGCAGAAAGUGAUGGUGGUCCUGCAAUCGGAGGACGUAGAGGAAGUGAUGAUGACUCUUCCUCAUCUCGCCUCCCUCCCCAUCGAAAACGCGAGGGUCCAGUUGGAGGAGAAAGUGACUCGGAGGAGGUCCGCAAUGCUCGGUGCCUCACGCCAACUCGUUCGCUUUAUUCUCCUGAAUCUGCCCGCCUCCUCUCACGCUCCAUACGGGACAGGCAACAGAUGAUUGACAUCCGUGCUGAGGCAGAGCGAUUGGGACGGACCAUUGACCGUCUUAUAGCCGACACUAGUAACAUCAUCGCAGAGGCUCGGGUCUUUGUGGCUAACGGCGAUCUUUUUGGUCGUAUGGAAGAUGAGGAUGAUGGUGGUCGGAUCAGAGAGCAUGAGCUACUCUUCCGCAUCAACUCUCAAAUGAAGACCUUCAGGAAGGAGCUCCAAGGGUUUAUAGACCGGCUGGAAGUCCCAAAACCUGAGGAAAGAGAUUCAGAAGAACCAUUAUCUCAUAGUUUCGCCCUUUGUUUUCGUUUGUUUGUCAAUGUUGUGUAUGUCACCAUGGUCGAAGAAUCUCAGGAUGGUCACUUUCCAAGCACAGACAGCACGCUUAAGCACAGAAGACUGCAUAAAUGCUGGAGACUGUUUUACCCAAAUCACAUAUAUAUGGCUGCCGUUGGAAGGUACAUUAUCAAGAGUUUUAUUUUUGCAACUAAAGACUACUAUACAACAUCAGAAUAUCUGCGUUUGUGAAGACAUCAAGACCCUUAAACCUCUGGAAACGGCAUUACCAAGAAGGCAUUUAUUCAGAACUAUGGCUACAAGUCACAAUGAUGCUUGCUGUGCAACCAAAGAUUUUGCAAUGGAACAGUUAAGAAACCAUUUUAGGGUAUAUCAGCCAGAAUUCCAGUCACAUCAGCUGGAAUGACCGCCUGUCAGAAGCAUGCAAAGAAUGUCAGUGACGUCGGUCUCCUGCAUGGAGACCAUGAAUGCUGGAAUAAAUCUGACAUUAUGACACCGGACACCUGGCAGGUCUGACGUCGCAGGGGUAAAUACUUUAGUGACUAUAAAGCCCCAGGGCCCUCUCAGGACUACAGUUGUUUACCCCCGAGCUCCGGACAGGGCCAUAGGGCCGGACAGAGGAAACAUUUAGGAUCUAAUACACAGGAUUUUUAACAUCACGCUGUGGGGUACGAACAUCAGUGGUCUUUCCACAGUUACACGCAGGAGCAGUCAAAGGGGAGGUGGUACUGAAACAGGAGUGAUCUUCAUACAUGCGACAAAUCUGUACGUGAACAACAUACGUACGUUCUGGAGCAGCUGUUUCAGAGCAUCGCAAGUUUCUGGAGGAACCAAUAAUAAGAUCUAACUG